UACGAAGGGGGCGAGCGUUGUCCGGAUUUAUUGGGCGUAAAGAGCUCGUAGGCGGUUCGGUAAGUCGGGUGUGAAACCUCCAGGCUCAACCUGGAGUCGCCACUCGAUACUGCUGUGACUAGAGUCCGGUAGGGGAGCGUGGAAUUCCUGGUGUAGCGGUGAAAUGCGCAGAUAUCAGGAGGAACACCGAUGGCGAAGGCAGGUCUCUGGGCAUUAACUGACGCUGAGGAGCGAAAGCAUGGGGAGCGAACAGG
rnacentral:rRNA from 1 species